CUCUCUCUCUCUCUCUGUCUUUCUCCAUGGGUUCUGGUUUUAUCAGUGAUCUAAGUCUCACACAUAGAAACCUUGUUAGAUGGGGGGUUAGCUGUAUGAACCUGCUGCUGUCGAGGGACCUACAGUGUUGAGACAAAAGGGAAAGUCUUGCAGACCAGGGUGGUCUGGAACUUGUGGCAAUCCUGUCUUCUGUUUCCUGAAGGCAGGAAUUAUAGGUGCGCAACCACACAGCUGGCACUAUUUACUACUUUAAGAGGUUUGGGAGAGGACCCUAAGAAAGCAGAUACCUACCUACAAGACAAAGGGAGAAGACCAGAAAAACAAUAAGAAACAACAACGAAAGCCUGGAAAUAGCUUGAUUUCAGAAACCCUGCACUCAGAACUGUGUGAACAAAUCUCUGCUGCUUAAGCCACCCGCUUACAGCACUCUCAGUAGCCAAACGCAAUCUUGCCAGUCUGAGAAACAAAAGAAAUUUCUAUAAGGAUGAUAUAAGAUUAUGAAGAGAGGCUCCCACAGCAGGAACCAGCAGACAGAACCAGUAAACGGUUCCUGAAAUGGUUACGAUAAAUAACUGGAAGAAGCAGGAGUGCUAACCUGGAUGUGAGAAGAAGCCAAGUAGAAGUUCACAAAUGAAGAUUCUGUGCCUUUGUAUGUAAAGCCAUGGUAAAGUAGAUGUUAGAGGAAACAGGAGGAUGAACUAGAAGUUCCAGUAGCAUAAUGAAGGCUGUGUGGAGAUUUAUGAUAGAAGAGAUGGCAUCGUGGUUCAGCAGAGAUGGAAAUUUUAUCAAACACCACUGUGCAAAUGGUUGUCAGUGGAAGACAGAAAAUGUGAUCCUCACUUUACAUGAACACAAAACCCAAGACAGAACAAAACCAUAAAAGGGACAAACAAAACUUCAACCUUUUAGGGGAAAUGGUAGGAAGCUAUUGUGCCAGGAUGCUAAGGAAGUCUUUAUGGAAUCAGAGAGGAUUGCUAGGAAAAGGGUCAUUGCGUUACCUCAUGCAGAGCAGUGGAGCUGAACAUGCACCUUAUAGCAGGUAAAACUAAUCUCCGUGGUACAGGCUCAGAUAUGUACUGAAAGUAUAGCACUUUCAUUUUUACGUAGUUUUAGGCUAGCUGGCCAAAUCUUAGGUUUCAUUUUGACAUUUUCAUUCAUGGGCAUCACAUUGUCUGCUUCCUCCCACAUGUCCUACUAUAUAUUGAACAUCG